GUGCAUUCCACUUCACCGGGAGCAGGAUUUUUCUCUCUUCCACUUUCUACUGCUAUCGGGGAGAAGCAGCUCCCUGCUUCCAUGCUUCUGGAUCCCUCACCAUGGUGUCUGCUGAAUAUGAAGAGUCGAAAAUUAGCUGAGCUUCAGUGUGACAUAUUGACCAUGGGCAACCAGGAAGAAGACAGCAGUGGAGGACUGGAGCAGCGAUAGCGGGGCCCAAGGGAGCGACGGCUGAAAAGCUAUGGACUUAUACUAUUGUGAGAUUUGGGACUACAAACCAUCACAUGAAAACUUAUGGAUACGUCAGGUGACCCGCAAACAGGAACAUCUGCAAGAAACCCAAAAAACACAUAAAGAAAUAAAAAAU